GGUUUGCUUAACACGGCCUUAAAACUAAUAUAGUACUUUUUAUCUUCUUGAAAAUUUGUUACUAAUUUGGAAUGAAUUAGCUAAAUGGCUAAGCUAAUUUAUACCAAAUUAAUAGCAAAGUUUGAAGAACAUGAACAAUGUACAAUACUAGUGUUAAAGCCUAUGCAAAGCAUGAGCC